rnacentral:rRNA from 1 species
GACAGAGGAGCCAAGCGUUGUCCGGAUUGACUGGGCGUAAAGCGCACGCAGGCGGUCGUGCACGUGGGGUGUGAAAACUGGCGGCUUAACUGCCAGAGGCCACCUCAUACGGCGCGACUCGAGCCCGUGAGAGGUCCAUGGAAUUGCCGGUGUAGUGGUGAAAUGCGUAGAGAUCGGCAGGAACACCCAGGGAGAAAUCAGUGGACGUGGCACGGUGCUGACGCUCAGGUGCGAAAGCGUGGGGAGC